UACGUAGGGACCGAGCGUUGUCCGGAAUCAUUGGGCGUAAAGAGCGUGUAGGCGGCCACUUAAGUCCUGCGUGAAAUCUUGCGGCUCAACCGCAAGCGGUCGUGGGAAACUGGGUGGCUAGAGUGCGGGAGAGGAGAGUGGAAUUCCUGGUGUAGCGGUGGAAUGCGCAGAUAUCAGGAGGAACACCGGUGGCGAAGGCGGAUCUCUGGGCCGUAACUGACGCUGAGGAGCGAAAGCAUGGGGAGCGAACAGG
rnacentral:rRNA from 1 species